AAGGUUUUAAGUUAAUUUAAACUAAUAGUCUUCAAAAUUAUUUAUAAAGAUUUUUUUUUUCUUUAAGCCUUA
rnacentral:tRNA from 1 species